CUUUAUGGCGGCUGUGUUUGGGACGCUUCGGCGUGCCCGGGUUAUCUCUCCCUGGUUUGACCAACCUGAACACAGUCCGCCUCCCAA
rfam:Pseudomonas sp. GM78 PMI35_contig75.75, whole genome shotgun sequence.